rnacentral:rRNA from 1 species
AUUGAACGCUGGCGGCAGGCCUAACACAUGCAAGUCGAGCGGUUGAAGGGAGCUUGCUCCUGGAUUCAGCGGCGGACGGGUGAGUAAUGCCUAGGAAUCUGCCUGGUAGUGGGGGAUAACGUCCGGAAACGGGCGCUAAUACCGCAUACGUCCUGAGGGAGAAAGUGGGGGAUCUUCGGACCUCACGCUAUCAGAUGAGCCUAGGUCGGAUUAGCUAGUUGGUGGGGUAAAGGCCUACCAAGGCGACGAUCCGUAACUGGUCUGAGGGGAUGAUCAGUCACACUGGAACUGAGACACGGUCCAGACUCCUACGGGAGGCAGCAGUGGGGAAUAUUGGACAAUGGGCGAAAGCCUGAUCCAGCCAUGCCGCGUGUGUGAAGAAGGUCUUCGGAUUGUAAAGCACUUUAAGUUGGGAGGAAGGGCAGUAAGUUAAUACCUUGCUGUUUUGACGUUACCAACAGAAUAAGCACCGGCUAACUUCGUG